CUCCCCCCUCCUUCCUGUGUUGGACGCGACCAGCUGGAUCCACUCACCUCAUCUACACCUGCCUUCAUAAACUCCUCCAGGAUCAUCAGCCGGUGCCAGUUCGUUGUUCCUCCUAUGGACGUAAACCUUCUGGAUCCUCACCUGGUCGCAGUCCUCCAACGCAGCCGUCACGCCGCAUCCAGAAACCUCCAGCCAGCCGCCUCGCCUCGUCUUGGUUCAAGCCUCGCACCUGCCGCUGUUUCCCCUCAAGGAGAUUCCAGCUCAAGUUUCCUCCAGUCAGCCCUCGCUCUCUUCCUGGAAGAAAGUCCUGUCAAGAUCUGGUUCUGAUUAAACCACUGAAACUUA